AGCAAAUGUUGCGAGGGAAGUGCU
rnacentral:siRNA from 1 species